GGAUACCUUGCUCAAAUGGCUUUACGUGUUAUCAGGUGCGCUCGUUAUCGCAAGAUCCGAUAUAAAUUUUCUGUUUAUGAUAUGUCUCUAUCUAGUGUUAAUCAACAUGUUUCAAGCAGUGGACUAUCUCUCAACCUUCGUUCUCCAGCCGUCAUCGAAGAAGACUGUCACGAAAAAGCAAAUGAGCAAUGCAAACAAUUCAGCCAGCACACCAUUGUUGCAUCCGGAGCAAGGCGGUUCUGGUCAUCCAAUAAGCGGCCAUAAAUAUCCGAUUUACGUUGCUCAACCUAUACACAGCGUUCCAAAUUUUCCCCCACACUACGCUCAUCAGUAUUACCCCGGAUGUCCACUGUGCCCAAUAGAUCCGCAUUAUUCGAGAUAUCCGGUAUACCCCAGCUAUCCUGUGCAUCCUGGAUAUCAGCAACCAGAUAGGUGGCACCUUGCAAACCCGAGGUGAAUUGCAAGGGUUAUUUUAAGUCUGUGAAACCAAAAGAUCUUUUCAAAUUGUUAGUGUUUAGUGAUAUCUGGUAGUGCUUGGCAGUUGAAUAUAAUUCAAAUUUGUUAUUGAAAAUGUUCGUGUUUUGUCAUGUCGAAAAGCAGAUUUCGUAUUAAUUAGUAUAUGAUUUAUUAUAAAGAAUUAAAAGUCUGGAGAACCUUAAACGCUUUUGCUUUUUGUAAAAAAAAAGUUUUAUCAAGUGUAACAUUUUAAAAGUAAAUUUUUAUUAUCAAACUUCUUUAAAAAAGUAUUGGAAAAAUACAUGUACGAUUUAUUACAAGCUGUAACGAAUUUAGUUAUGCAUAUCUUAUGAAGCAUGAUACUAUAUUAUUCGCUCCGGUUCAACAAAUUGAGUCAUUAAAAAACGGAACCUCAUUGUAUUUUAUGAACGACAAGGUUAUUCCCAAUCAAAAGCAAAAAACAAUACAAAAACGAUUGAACAGUGCGCUGUCGGUUGCCACGUUCCGCAUAAUUUAUUUAUUGCUGUUGAUUUCGCACAUAAGUUCAUGCAUCACCUCGUUCGUCCAUAUUAGGUAUACCUCAGAGAAAGGGUAGCAAGCUCCACUCACUACUUCAAAGGAAAGGCGAACGUCGACCUAUCAAACAUCAGCUCCAAGUUUCGCAAGCGAGAAAAAAUAGAAAGGACAUAAAUACGGUGACAAAUUGAUUUCCCCAAGGAGCCGGAGUCGAUGAAUAAAAAAUAUGCCUCAAUAUCUUCA